UUAAAGGCAAUGAAGAGAAGAGUAAUUUUGAUUCAUUAUUUACAGAGAGUCCCGGCUGGUGGAAAGGGGCAUUAAUGGUCUUAAUGAAAAAAGCCUCCGAGCUUCGUAUGGAUCUAAGGUGAAUCUUAGUGAUGGUGCGACGGGAUCUCCCGUUACAGAGAUAGAGUAUACCCAAUGUUUGUUGGCGUACUCGAAGAGGUUGGUAUGGCAACAUAUCAACAAACUGAGGUGGUACCGCGAAGUGAACAACUCUCGUCCUCAAG
rnacentral:ncRNA from 1 species